UUUACUUACUCGAUACAAUCAAAUAUUUAUGUUCAAUAUCAAUUAGGGAUUCAAACAUUAGGGACAUUUUUUUUCAUAUGUACUUAACACUGAUUAUAAAAAUAUUUUGCAAUGGCAACAUCUUCUCACUGUCAGCUCUCUUGAAAACAUCGCAUCGUCCUUCUUUUCAUUCUACGGAGUCUCGAGCACAGACCGAUAUCUGCAUCGUGAAAUUCCUAAAUAAUCACGAACUCCUUUUGAAGGAGGAAAGUUAAAGUUUUUCCUUCUUAAACAUGAGAGCAAAGUGGCGUAAGAAGCGCAUGCGAAGGCUAAAGCGCAAAAGGAGGAAGA